GUCUAUGGCCAUACCACCCUGAUCUUGUCUGAUCUCAGAAGCUAAGCAGGGCCAGGCUUGGUUAGUAGUUGGAUAGGAGAAAUUGUUGGGCAGAUACUGAAGAGGAGGGACUGGUGCAGACA
rnacentral:rRNA from 1 species